UACGGGGGGGGUAAGCGUUGUUCGGAAUUACUGGGCGUAAAGGGCUCGUAGGCGGCCAACUAAGUCAUACGUGAAAUCCCUCAGCUUAACUGGGGAACUGCGUGUGAUACUGGAUGGCUUGGAUUUGGGAGAGGGAUGCGGAAUUCCCGGUGUAGAGGUGAAAUUCGUAGAUAUCGGGAGGAACACCGGUGGCGAAGGCGACAUCCUGGACCAACACUGACGCUGAGGAGCGAAAGCCAGGGGAGCAAACGGG
rnacentral:rRNA from 1 species